ensembl:miRNA Gm25250 predicted gene, 25250
GUGUGUGUGUGUGUGUGUGUGUGUGUGUGUGUGUGUGUGCUCAAGAAUGUGCGCACACACAAAAAUGUGCCAUGGAAG